rnacentral:lncRNA from 1 species
AAUAGGUCCGUUUGAUUAGUAUAUAUAUGCCAUCUUGUUGCCUUAGCAACAGAACAUUAGUCCGUUACAUCAAUAUCUCGAUAGCUUGUCCACUAUAUUGUGAAGGACGAUGUCGAAAGUUGUGGCAGUAGUGAUGGUUCUUAGUUUGAUGAUGACCAGCUCGGCCGAACACCAGGAGCGAGUAGUGGUAGCUAUUCCAAUAGAAGGAACCAGUCAAGGAUGGGUGCGCUAUUCGGAAACUCCGACGUACUCUACUACAUCGCCGUCACUCGAUGGCGCACAUCCCAAUUGUGGGGGUCGUGACCCAAAAAAUUGCCCUCCGCCUCCUGCAUGGUGACAAGUUGUACUUUUUGUGAUGCUUGCUGUGCUGAAUAAAACAUUGUCCAUGCUAUUGUUUUCUUAGGAGAGUUCUAAUACUACAUUUUUUCGACUUCAACUUUUCUCUCGGUGUUUUCCUUGUAUUAAAUAUGAAAAAACAAGUUCUUCAGCUACUGCAAAAAAUGAUAUAGCCGGGGGCUCAUCAGGGACAUGCACAUAUAUUGCUCGUCACCGAUAACUUGAAAAUUUACGGGUGGCAAACAAAAUUCCCUGUUCACCGGUGGUAAGUGCUUACCGCUGGUGAGCCUUGAUAACUAGACAGUACCCCCACGUAUUGCAGCGGGAUGGUAACAAUUUAAAAGAGAGGGGCACACGGUAAGGAGAAAACAAGUAAGAAAAUAAAAAUAAGAUGAUGAGUGGUGGAGAAUUAAACGGUAAGAGAUAUGGGACGCGCACAUGCCUGACCCUGCUGGGUAGUAUGAUACUACGUCCAUUUCAGUUUACAAGUCCUGUGUGUAUACCUAGGUUGACAAUUCUACCACCCUAAUAUAAACUAUAUAACACAAAAAAUAUAUCUUUUGAAAGUAGAAACUCCAAAGUUUAUGUUGGUAUAUUUUUUGUAAUAUAUGAAUUGUAUUAGGUUGGUCAAAUUGACGACCUAGAGGUACGCGCACGCCCUGUAAACUGAGAGAGAGGUAGUACUGCGGGAGAAGGUGGGCCAGAUGACCUGAUCGAGGUGGCUUCAUUGUGUUGCACGCGGCAACAUCCUCAGCGGCAGUGCGCCUGCGACCGCGGCACCCCCGUCCGAUUUGGCCGGCAUGGUCUAUGACAUGUAGCUCGGGCCGGACUGGACGCGGCGAUACUAUCUCCCAUGGAAGGACUCGGGAGAUAGUACCACUAAUAAUGACAAGCGAUAAAAAACAAUAAAUAUUGGUAGAACAUUUUCUUUGGAAACAAAUGAAAAAAAGAAAAGAAUACAGCACAAAAGUGAUGCACCAUUAGCACUUGUUAUUUUUUUUCCUCACCAUAUCUUAUAUUUCUUUGUUAUGCAAAUGCGAUUGCACAUUGUUUUCUACUGAGUAACUAGAUUGUCACCAGGCUUGGAAAGUAAGUUGUUAAAUCGUAGCUAUAUGCACUUUCUUUUGGGUACUUAACAUGUGUGUUUGAGUCCGGAUGAUGAUAUGUCAAGUCAUGCAUGAUAGCCUCAUGCCUAAAACCUUCUAUGCUUUUGCUAUCAUACAUGAGAUUGUAAGAUUCUCUUUGGAACAAUAUGCGGUCACUAGACAUGGUUAUCAGGUGUACAUGACAUGGGGGCAACGGGAGGGAUGGGAGGGGCUGGAGGAGGGAGGCGGGUGAAGGAGGAGAUCUAGAGGCUCGAGGCCUCCUUUGAAAAAUCCAGCACCGGUAGCCUCUGACUGAGUUUCAGUCAAUAGUCGCUAUAAAUUUCCGGGCAAAUUACGGCCUCGCUAGAAUAGGUUAAUAUUCCAGUCACUAGUCCAUCUAGUCAUUCCGAUUCAUACUCGACAGCUGACAUGUGAACUCCAACACACCCUCAACUACUCGGAAGCAGGCAAUUGUACCAGGAUUCCAGAAACUGCAUUAGUUAAUCAUAUGGUUACGUGAUCAAACAAGUGGGGAUGCUGGAACGGGUCGUUCGUCAAAGCAUGCUUUUGCUUCUAGACCAAGGCUUGGUAAUAGAGUACUCCCAGUUAGCAGCACCAGUUGGCUGCCUAGUCCGUAGUUAGUACUACUAAGCUUUUUGGUUUGGCCUGAUCGACCGAUGGAUCGGGCUGCUCCCCCCUGCUGCAGAGGCGCCGCGGUGCUGAUACUUCUGAUCUUCCUGCCGUUGAGCGCAUCCGAUGACCGGCUUGUCCCCGGCGAACCACUCUCUCCUGGCUCCACAAUCGUCUCCACAAUCGUCUCCGAUGGUGGUGCUUUUGCCUUGGGCUUCUUCGCCCCCUCCGACUCCACUCCGGCCAAGCUAUACCUUGGCAUAUGGUACAACAACAUUCCUGGUCUCACCGUCGUGUGGGUCGCCAACCGAGAAACUCCGGCCAUCAACACCGCACCCUCAGCACCGACCCUCUCCCUCAACAACACCUCCAAUCUCGUCAUAUCCGACGGUGACGAUGGCAGCCGUGUCGUCUGGGCAACAGCCAACAUGGGAGCCGCUGCCUCAGGCUCGUCUCCCCCGACGGCAGUGCUUCUGAAUACGGGCAACCUCGUGGUCCGGUCGUCAAACGGCACCAUUCUAUGGCAGAGUUUCGACCACCAAACCGACACAUUCCUUCCUGGGAUGAAGCUCGGGAUAAAGUACAACACGCAUGGCGAUAGGGACGAACGCCUGGUAUCCUGGAAGGGCCCCGGCGACCCCUCGCCGGGGCGCUUCUCCUACGGCGCUGACCCGGUGACGUUCCUCCAAUUAUUCCUCUGGGAUGGGGAGCAGCCAGUGGCCCGCAGUGCCCCGUGGACGGGGUACUCGGUUAGUGGUGACUACCUUACGGGGAACAUUAGCACGGAGCUCGUCAUCUACCAGGCUGUCGUCGACAACGACGAUGAGAUCUACGUCACCUACAGCCUCUCCGACGGCGCCCCUAACACCAGGUAUGUGCUCACCCACUCCGGUGAGUUCCAAAUCCAGAGCUGGAGCCGCAACACAUCGGCGUGGGUAGUCCUUGGGAAGUGGCCGUCCCAUGAAUGCAACCGCUAUGGAUACUGUGGCACGUACGGCUACUGUGAUGAGACGGACUCGCCUGUGUACACGUGCAAGUGCCUUGACGGCUUCGAGCCGGCGAGCGAGGAGGAAUGGGCUGGCGGCAAUUUCUCUGCGGGGUGUCGGCGGAAGGAGCAGCUGCGAGGGUGUGGCGAUGGCUUCUUAGCACUGCCAGGGAUGAUGUCCCCAGACAAGUUUGAGCUCGUCGGCGGCAAGGAUAUAAAUACAUUCGGUGAGUGCACGGCGGAGUGCAGCCGCAACUGCUCCUGCAUGGCAUAUGCCUAUGCCAACUUAAGCAGCGGAAGUACCGGAAGAGGCAGGACGAUGUGCUUGGUGUGGGCUGGAGAGUUGGUCGACACGGGGAAGAUUGGCACGGUGCUUGGUAGCGACACACUUUAUCUCCGUCUUGCCGGCCUUGAUGCUGCAGCUGGUACCAGACCUCAAUAUCACCCGCUUUCUACUACUCCCUAUAUUGUUCAAUAUAAGUGUCACAGUUUUCAACUCAAAACUGCAAAACUGCUACACUUAUUUUAUUGGAUCGGUGGGAGUACUAGUUUCGCUAUUAAUUUCUCCUCCUUUAUAUAUUUUUAUUCGUUCUUCAUGUUUCUACUGUUGGUUUUGUGUUUGCUAUUUUUUUCUAUUAUUCAUUUGUCUUAUGUUAUAUGUAUGUAUUGCAUAGGUAAAAGUACAAAGAGCAAUAAAAUAAGGAUUGUACUGCCAGUUUUAGGCGGUAUUUGUGUUCUCCUACUCAUAAGCUUCUGCCUCGCAUGGUUAAAAUACAAAGGUAUGUUUAUUUCAAUGUCGUUAGGAAGAAGUCAUAUUUUACCAUCUUAUGAGAAUAUCCAUUUGGCCAUCUGAACUGGAGUUCGUUGUCUACUACAAUAAUAUGCCUAAAUAAACAACUAAAAUAUGUAAGAUUACAGCAAACAGAAAAAUUUAGGUGGUUCGUCAUUUUGCCAUGGGUGGCACAUAUGCCUUGUGGGUUCUUUCCCAUGCUUGUAUUAUGCUUGUUGGAUGAGAAACCACUAUAUCAUUGUGGUGACAAUAACAUUGUGCGGACAGGUAAAAACAAAAGAUGGAGAAAGCACAUGAGUAUUUGGUUGGAUGAUAUGAAUACCACCGAUCAACGUGGGGAAGAAAACCCUCCCCAUGGUGAUGAAUUUCCAUCUUUCAGAUUUGAACAAAUUUCCCUCGCAACACACAAUUUCUCUCAAACAUGCAUGAUCGGACGGGGAGGGUUUGGCAAAGUUUACAAGGUACCUCACGAAUAUCAUUAGUUCUAAAUUAGGAGAUAUAAUUUGUUCCAUAUGUCAAGCUCAAAUUAAACUAAGAUUUGCAUUGCAUAUCUCUAGGGAAUAUUAGGUGGUCAAGCAGUUGCCGUGAAGAGGCUAAGUAAGGAUUCUCAACAAGGAACAAAGGAAUUCAAGAAUGAAGUAAUUCUAAUAGCCAAAUUGCAACACAGAAACUUGGUUCGUCUUCUUGGAUGUUGUGCCGAGGGAGGAGAAAAGCUACUGAUUUAUGAGUAUCUGCCUAAUAAGAGCUUAGAUGCCACAAUUUUUGGUGUGUAUUCUUGCAACAAAAAAUGCAUUAAGAUGCUAGAAGAAAAAUCUUAUUCUGGUUCCUUCUAUUUACAGAUGAUUCAAGAAAAUUGUUGUUGGAUUGGACAAAACGGUUUAAUAUAAUAAAAGGAGUCGCUAAGGGACUUCUCUACCUCCACCAAGAUUCAAGACUGACAAUAAUUCAUAGAGAUCUCAAAGCUGGAAAUGUUUUGCUAGAUGCAGAGAUGAAACCUAAGAUAGCAGACUUUGGUAUGGCCAGGAUCAUCGUUGAUAACCAACAAAGUGCAAAUACCCAACGGGUUGUCGGAACAUAGUGAGUAUCCAUUGGGUGUUAAAUCAUAUUAAUUUUGAUAAAUGCAACUCCAAUCUGACAACUCUUAUAACUGAAAUGAUCAAGCAGUGGAUACAUGGCUCCUGAGUAUGCAAUGGAAGGUCUCUUCUCUACCAAAUCUGAUGUCUACAGCUUUGGCGUGCUACUACUAGAGGUUGUGACUGGUAUAAGGAGAAGCUCAAAUAGUCAAACUAUGGGCUUCCCAAGCCUCACAGUCUAUGUGAGUAUGUGCAAAACUUAUCUCUAGUUUUAUUUAUGAAAUUAAGCAGUUCAAAACUCUGAAGCAUUGACAAACAAAAUGAAUAUUGAUAUGAUUUUUCUUAUUUUUUUUCUAGUCAUGGAAUAUGUGGAACGAAGGGAAGACUGAGGAUUUGCCGGACUCAUCUAUUAUGGAUAACUGUUCACCAGAUGAAGUUUUGCUUUGCGUCCAUGUAGCACUCUUAUGUGUCCAGAGAACCCCGAUGACAGACCACAUAUGUCAUUUAUUGUGUUCCUCCUAGAGAAUGGAAGUACUUCACUUCCGCCCCCCAAUUUCCCCGCCUACUUUGCGCGACAAGGUGCUCAGAUGGAGCAAAACAGAAAUGAUAUUCCGACUUUGACAAAUAGUUUUACACUUACCGAGAUAGAGGGGCGAUGAAAUAAGGCAUUUUUAGUUUUAGAUAAGUCAAAAUGCUCUCAAAAGAAAACUUUGAAUGUAUCACACGCUAUUUCCCAUUUUCAAAUAAUUGCACACUACCGACAAAUGUGUGGCUCAGUAGAAUCUUUACACAUCAUGUGUUGUCUAGAAGUCAUCAUGUUGAAUGUGUUCUCUAUUCUAGUUUUUGUAGGGAUGCAAGUGGGAAAGCAAAACCGUGCCUCUCUCUGAAGGAAAAAAAACAGAAACCAUAUUUUUUCCUUUUCCGAGAAAGGCACGGUCGUACCUCUCGUGGAAGAAAAAAAAACAAAAAACGUGUUCUUUUUUUUUGUUUCCGAGAGGCACGGCCGUGAUUCUCGCGAAAGCACAACCAUGCCUCUCGCGGAAGCAAAACCGUGACUCUCGCGGAAGGAAAAAACAAAAAACACAUUUUUUUUUCGUUUUCGAGAGGCACGGCCAUGAUUCUCGCGAAAGCAAAACGGUGCCUCUCGCGGAAGCAAAACCGAAACUCUCGCGAAAGAAAAAAAUAAAAAUAAAAAAGCGUGUUUUUUCGUGCAAAUUUUUUUUCGGAUUUUUUUGUUCAAAAAUUAAGGAAGACCAGUGGAAAACCGAACGUAAAAAACCCCAAAAAAAUCAUUUUAAAAGAAGGAAACGCGUGCGAAAGAAAAAACAAUUGUUUCAUUAGAUUACUCGUUGCAUUUGAAUUAACAUUUUGUAAUAAUAUUGUUGAAUCAUUUGAUGUCAAACUAGACUAGUAUGAUGGAUAGAAGAAAACAUAAUUAAACAAUUAUGAAUAUUGCAUAUGGCAACAAUGAUGAUUAUGUGUUUGCACACGACCUUAAAACACAAUAAAGCGCCAUCCAGAAACUUUACGUUUUUAAAUGCUGCAAAUACGACAACUCCGAGUUGAAGUUGCUCUAAUCCAUAUCAAGCCAGAGCAAGGAUACUGUCUUUUUUCCAGGGUGACCAAAGAUAAUAUCAACAACAAAAAAAGGUAAGAUAGGAUAUCAUGUGGGCAUGAAGACCGCCGAUAGCUGCCAAGAGACCUUCAAUAUAUUUUUUGAAGAAAAAAAGCUCAAAAUGUGCAUCUAAAGUGAAACCUUGAAGAAAGGAAUGUUAAAUACUGUAUAUAAAAAGACUUCUUUUAAAAAAUAAAAGGAGCGAAACUGGAUGGAAGACCUGUGGGCCGUAGCACGCGGCCGAGCGACAUGGCAACAUUGAAGCACCGGCCGUCAUAACGGCACUCCGAUUCCGUUACAGCCGUCACCACACCUGCUCGACCCUAACGGCGUCGGCAGUGUGAAGUUGAGCACGCGCCGCUUCAUUCCCCAUUCUCCUCGGCACAAGCGUCCCGUUCCCAGCGCCGCCACUCAGAUCCAAAACGAGUUAGAGAGGAAAAGGGGAAGGGGAAACCGGCGGGCGGCGGCGGCGGCGGAGGAGGAGGAGGAGGCGAGAUGGUUGGAGAUGGCUGGCGCAGGCGGAGUGGAUGAUGCGGUCCGUACUAUGUCCCGAUCGAGCCGUGCAAGAGGAAGAAGCAGCCGCCAUCGGCAGCGGAGAUCAUGAGGGCUGAAGCCCGCGGCCAGCUCACCCGUCUCCGCGGCGUGAUCCUCAACUGCGAGGGGUGCCUCUCUUACUUCCUCCACUCCAUCGAGCACCAGGUCCGAGACCCGCUCGAGCUAGCCGCCGACUUCGCCGCUGCUGCUGCCAAGGCGGAGGCGGAGGCGCAGGACUACAACGAAGGGUUCAAGCUUCAGGCCGGUGAUGAGUAUUACCUGAGCUCCCUGAACUUCUUCGCGCCGUCUGUGGGGGCCGCCUUCGCCGGGUUCUGGGGCGUCCGCUGGCUAGAUUGCGCCGAGGAUGGGCUUCUUGAGGUUCUUCGCUACUUGGAGUUGAACCUCGAAAUCGACGUUGAUCAGUGCUUUGUGGACCGCACGAGGGAUGCCUUCGACCAUGUGAACAACGCCCAGGCUUGCUUGAUUCGAGCCCAUGCUUCCCUCCGUCCAGGUGAGGACGCCUCCUUUGUUCACCAUCUAAAAGCUACCAUGGGACACAUCGAAGCAGCUGCCUUGAUUCUCCGUCAUCAAGUGUACAUCUCGCGCUUGACACGGACCCUGUUCGCUUCCAUUAGGUCCACCACCUAGUGAGAGUCGUCAGAGCAACACCUAGCCUUAUGUGAAUUUGCCAGUUUUGCACCGUGAUAAAAGUAGCACUAUAUCAAUUGCCUGUGGUUGAGUACUCAGUUCCAUUGAAUUUUAGUUCCAAGAGAACCUAUCUCAUUUCAAUUUCAUCCUUCCAAAUCUGGAAGAGAAUAUAAACUCCUUAUAAGGCUGCUGUAACAGGUCAUGGUAGUGUUGUGAACCUAUUAUCCAUAGAACAUGUGCCAUGGCCCAUUAUGCUUUGGUAUCGGCGGUAGCGUGAGUUGUUCCAUGGUUGCUCUACAUGCCAUUUUAUUGCGCUCCCUACUCUGAUUUCAUAUUUAAGACUGCAACCUUGAUGUAUUACCAUGUUGCUCUGGUCUUUUUUCUCCAUAAAAGUAACGAGUUUUUGUUUGUUUGUUUGGCGUAAGCUGAAUGAUUCGGUCCUUUUGUUACCUAAUGAAGUCAUGACAUAUUCUUAUCAAUAUAGGACAUGGGCUGGCCUCUCACUUUGUAGAGGAGCUAUUUACUUCCAUGAGAUCCAUCUCUUAACCAUCCUCUAUUCGUACGCAGAGAUCUGGUGAUUUCUGGGGUUAUGUUCUGUGGGCAUUUUGUGCGAUUUCUGGGUUCCAGUAUUGUGAACAAAAUGUGCAGAGAGCAGGAGUAGAAGGCAGGUGGGAGGUGAUUUCUUCAAAGUAGUUGAUAGCGGGUGGCUAUGAGGUCAUUGGACCUCUUCUGAAUGUUAUUCUUGUGGUUUACUUGUCUUGAUUAUUUGGGGGAUCAACAACUACAGAUAUAAGUAGUUGUCAUUUUAGUGCUACUCCCGUGCCUUGUUCCCAAAUAGGCUUCCUGCAUGCAUAAUCUCACAAGUAGAUAUAUAUUACUUUAGUUACUUAACAGCGUGCUACCACCCUUUCCCUAAUUUUGUGUUUGGUUUUAGGUAGUGUUCAGCUUUGCCAUAGACCCAUAGUGUGUGGCGGUCGGGGCUCUCUUAUAGUUGUUGCUUUGCUUCAUGCAUGGCCUGCAGAUCUUGUCAUCAAUCUUGCUAAACUUUUACUUGUAAAUGACAUUUUGAAAAUCAAGGAGAAGCAGGAGUUUAUACGAUGCUCUAUUUGCAUGUCUUAUGCGUUAUGUGGCUAAAUAAAUGCUGCUCAGAUAGCAGCAAAGCACAUGCUUCCAUCCCUUGAUUAUAUUAAUGGAAUUUGAUUGGUGCCUUUUGCUAUCUUAAUCUAUCAGGUUGCUUGUAGGCUUGUAGCUAUCUAUCUGAGCAUUUCUUCCCUAUUUUUUUCAUUAGGUUCCUUUUUGUGCUUGUAUAAACAAUACAACCCCUGGUAUCUAAUUACUUGUCAUUUUAUUGCUCUCCCUACGUACUCUUAUUUCAUAUUGCAACCUUGAUGUAUUAAGAUGCCGGUCUGGUUUGAUCUCUCCGUAUAAGUAAUGAGUUUUUUUGGCAUAACAUGAAUGAUUUAGUCCUUUGUUAUCAAAUGAAGUCGUGACAACACACUCCACAGCGGUACAAAGGCAUUACUCCUUUUCAACCCCGCCCCCCCGCGUCGCCCCCGCCCGGGCGACUCGGGCGGGAUCCCAACCCUAGCCGCCGGGGCUCCCCCUCCUUCCAUCCCUCCCUCCGCCGCCGCCGAAGGACGCCGCCGGCCUUUUGCCCGGGGGCUGACGGUGGUGGCGGGGGCCUUUCCUCUCUCCCGCGCCAUGGGGACGGUGCGGAGCUCCGCGGCGUGAGGUGGCACGGCCGAUCUGGCCUCCGUGGCGUGGCGGGCCUGCCUUGACCGGCGACAGCGCGGCGGCGGCCUCGUCCUAGGGCGGUGGUGGUGGCGGUUGCGGCGGCCGGCCCUGCGUCGGGCAGCGGCCUUGGCUGCGUUCGGCGGUGGUGGCCGGAUCUGCAGCGGCGGACCAUCUGUCCUCGGAUCGGCGGUGGCGGUAUGAAGGGCCUGGUGGUUGGGUCGGCGCCAUGUGUGGUUUGCCCUCCGGACAGAUCCGAUCUGCCCGGUGCGGCUUGCUCGAUGUGCGGCGGCUCAGAUCGGCGCGACCCAUGCGCACAAUACGUGAUGGAGGUUCUUCGAGCGGAUCCGGGUGAAAACCUUGUGCUCGGCUUGUUGCCAAGACCGGCGUUGGUGGCACCCUGUGGUGUCAUUACCUUCUUGAAGGCAUCGCCGUGGAGAAGCUCUAGACCUCUAUCCGCUACCUCCGGGGGAAACCCUAGAUCAGUUGAUCGGAUGACGGCGACGCGUUGGUGUCGUUUCCUCCUUGGGGGCGUCAUUCUUGGAGGCGUACACGGGAUCGAGGGACCAGCGGGUGCCUUAUUGGUGGAGCGGUACUUCAUCCUUCACAUUGAUGACGGCGAAUCUCGGCGGCGUGGUGCAGUGGAGACUCGGCGCCCGAUGCGCGGGGAUGGACUCGCGCAGGUGGAGGUAGUUGUUUGGCGUCAAGGUGGCGUCGAUGACGGAGUGGCCUGACAAGGUAGAAGCCUCAAUAUCUGCUCUGAAGACGGACCUGUGAAAGAUGGCGGCGACGACACAUGUGAGUGCGUCAGACCAGUUUAUGCCCCAGACCCGGUAUGUGGCUAGGCUGGAGCUUCUGGCUUUUGAUGAUAGGUUUAGGUGAGUAGACCGGGUAUGUGGCCCAGGUAGCACCCCUUCAUCAUAUGGAUAGGAGUAGUGGCAUAUGUUGCCAAGAUGGCGGAUUCAGGCAUAUUGUUGUAAUACUUUGUAAGGUCCUCGAGAAUAAUCAAUAAAGUGGCCGUAUGCAUCUCCCAGAUGCAGAGGCCGGGGGUCAUCCUCCUUUUCUAAAAAAUCAAAUGAAGUCGUGAUAUAUUGUGACCAACAUGGGAUAUGGGUUGGCCUCUCACUUUUGACAGGUGCUAUUUGCUCCAUGAGAUCCAUCUCUUAGCGAGAUCUCAUUUUCUAUUUGGUCACAGAGAUCUGGUGAUUUCUGGGGUUAUUUGGUCUGAGGAUUUUGUGUGAUUUCUGAGAUCUUGUAUUGUAAACAAAAUGCCCAAAGAGCAGGAGGAGAAGGCAGUUGGGCGGUGAUUUCUUUUCAAAGUAGUUGAUAGUAGGUGGCAAUGUGGUCAUUGGAUCUCAGCUGAAUGUUAUUCUUGUGGUUUACUUGUCUGGAUUGUUUGGGGAGAUGUGUUAUCAAUUAUCAUUUCAGUGCUACUCCUGUGCUCUUCUUAUGAGAUAGCUUCCUGCAUGCAUAAUCUCACAAAUGGAUAUAGUUUGGUUGCUUAACAUAAUGCUACUGCCCUUUGCCUAAUUUUAUGUAGUGUUAGUGUGUGGUCUUGCUCAUUAGUGCAUUGUGGUUGGGGGCUCUCUUCCGGUUGUGUUUUGGUUCAUAUACGCAUGGCCUGCAACUUUGUCAUUAAUCUUGCUGAACUUUUAGUCAUUAAGGAAAUUCGAAAAUCAAGGAGAAAUGGUAUUUUAAAUGACGCUCUAUUUGGAUGUCGUAUGUGAUUUGUGGCUAAACAAAGGCUGCUCAGAUAGCAGCAAGCUCAUGCCAUCCCUUAAAUAGUGGCAUUUGAUUGCUGCCUUUUGCUAUCUUAAUCUAUCAGGCUGCUUGUAGCUAUCUAUUUGAGCAUUUCUUCCUUGUUUUUUUAUUAGAUUUUCUUUUUGUGCUUGUAUAAACAAUACCCCCCCUGCUAUUUAAUUGCUUUUUAAGUUGUAAAUGAGAGUCUUAGAGAUGUAUACAUCUUUUUUUUUUGCAUGUUUCCUCACUUGGUGUGCAUGGUUUAUGUUGGAUAGUACUGUUUAUUGGCACUCUUGGCACGUAACCUGUUUGCUUCCAUUAGGUCCAUCGCCAAGUGAGUACCUUAGGAACACCAUCUAGCCUUAUGUGGGUUUACCCAUUUUGCACUGUGAUGAGAGUUGAACUAUAUUGGUUGAUUGUGGUUGAAUACUCAGUUUCAUCCUCUAAAUCUGGAAAGAGAAACUCCCUUAGGCUGCUACCUCCGUAUUUCGAAAAAAUUAAGACAAGUAAUUUGGGAUGGAGGGAGUAUUAUAUAUCUAUCCAUAGUAUUACAUGUGGCAUAGUCCAUCACCCUUUGUUAUUGGCAGUAAUGUGAGCUGUUCUAUUUGUCAUAUUAUUGCUCCGCCCGCUGUUAUUUUUCAUAUUUAAAAGUUGCAUCUUUGAUGUAUUAAGAUGUUGCUCUGGUCUGAUUUCUCUGUAGAAGUAAUGAGUGUUUUUUUUUCUGGCACAACCUAAAUGAUUCAGUCCUUUGUUAACAAAUUAAGUCAUAUUAUUACCAACAUAGGACAUGAGGUUGCCUCUUUUUUUUCUGAACUCACAUGGGGUUGCCUCUCCCUUAUUUGCUUUCAUGUGAUCCAUUUCUUAGCGGGGCCUGGUGAUUGAUAGGGUUAUUCCAUUUUCUUUGGCGAUUUAGUGUGAUUUUGGGGAUCUUUUACUGCAAGAAAAAUGCACAAAGAACAUAAGAAGGUAGAAGGCAGAUGGAUGGUGAUUUCUUGGGAGUAGUUGAUAGCGGGUGACAAUGAGGUCACUGGGUCACUGCUGAAUGUUAAUUUUUAUGGUUUGUUACUUGUCUUGACUGUUUGGGGGUUCAACAGCUAGAGAGAUGUGUCGUUGUCAUAAUUUUUGCACUUUUUCAGCGCUACUCCGCCCGUGCUCUUGUUGUAAGAUAGAUUCCCGCAGAAUCUCAUGAAUAUAUAUACUUUGGCUAGUUAACAACAUUUUUUUUCAAGCACACGCAAAAGGGUGUGCGUGCUUUUGACAUUAAGAAAGAAGCGAGUUUUUACAUGGUGUUACAAUAGCACUGACACGUUAGUGCAAUCCACAGGAAUAUGCUAUCUAGGUUACACGUCAAUGAAAUCCACAGGAGUCCUCUCGCCAGUCCACCAGUACACGUUCAGCAGCACAGGGUAAUCACUCACGACCACACGGGACUGCUUCCAAUGAAACUCGUCUGGCAAGUUCACCAGGUUCUGGCUAGACAGUUCCCAUUGGGCAGGGCUUCGGCAAUUGUUCUUUGCAUGGCUGCAGGCUUGACAAAUUUCAUCAGAGACGGUGGAAGCUGCCUCAACCUGUAACCGAUGAUCCCCUGAUCGAUCUAGAAAUGCAACAUGUCACCAUUACUAAGAGAGCAAUGCAAUAGCUGCAAAAACUCCUUCAGCAUCCAUAGGCAGGUCGAUGUCUGUGACCUUGCAUGCCAAGGUUUCCCAUCUGCUGUUUUUCAUACCAUCGCCAUUUGAGGAGCAGGGCUUGGUUCAGAAGAUCAGGUUGUGAAUUCCCAGUUGACCAUGCAUAUACCUUGGGAGUGCACACUAACUUCCAAUUCACAAGGCAAUUGCCACCUUUAGCUUCCUCGUGGCCACACCAAAAGAAUCCACGUCUGGUUUUGUCAAUACAUGAGAGGAACCAAGCCGGCAGGUCAAGAAUGAGCAUGAGGUAGAUGGAUGUUGCAAUGAGAGUUGAGUGGAUCAAAACUAGCCCGCGAGCCCUAUGUAAAUGAGUGGUUGGAGCGCUGAUUUGGGAAAACGGGUGAAUGAUAGAGGCAAGCCCAAGUAUGUCACUCGAAAUACCUUGACGAAGCAAGCAAGUAUUCCAAUCACGGCUGAGAUGUUCUCUUGCGUUCCCAAACACUUUGAGCAGUUGGACAGUGGCUUCAGCUUCCUGCACAUCAGUUUGAGCAGUAGCACUGCAUUGCCAACAUGUCAGCAUAUACAGAGAGUCGAUGCUUGAAAGCAGCAUGCUAGCCCUUUGCGCAAAGUUUUAUUGUAGGUCGAGCUUCAUGGUAUCCUCUAUCCGGUCCGUCGGUUUGUUUCGUAAUCUGUGCAACCUAGAGCAUUACAGAUUUUUUUAGUGAGUCAAAUUUCUUCUCUGGCUCUCUCUCACCCUAUCUGUCACUCUCUUAGGGUAUGAACUAUGAUGGCAUAUGGAUACAGAUGCCCCAUGAACAAAAUAGUUUGAGGCACCUACAUUGAUUUUUUUUCUCCCCAAUGCAACUAUCACUAGUGGGUCUCAUCAAGGAAUAGGAAAUAAAGACUUUAGUACACAUGCAUAUCUACUCUUCAUUCCAACUUUUUCAGUUUUUUCACUGGACCAUAGUUUUUCUCUCCAAGCACCCGCCUCCUGCAGAGGAUCCCGCUUCCCCAUCCGAACCUACUUUUCCUGACGUUCGAUCCUACAUGACAUGCGAGGCAUCACCAUGGGGCUAUGCAUUGGCCAUGCCCUUAUAGUACGUAGGAGGCAGGACAUGGGACCAACUCUGUCACGAGCUACCCCGCACAAUAGGACGCAUGCUCCAUCCAGAAUGCAUGCUUCCUGACCUGCUGGAGAAAGAAGCUGCGAGAGAGGGCGGAAACAGGAAGGAGGGAGAGAGAGAUGAGAGGAUAAAUGGUGGAGAGAGAAUGACAAUAUCCUUCGUAUGAGAGAGAGAGGUUGGAAGAGAGAAGGAGAGAGGAGAGUGCAUCUAUUUCUAUUUCUUUUUUCUUCUUUUUUGUGGGGAGAGUGUGUGUCUAUUUCGUCCAUAAGAGAAAGCAGAGUCUAAAGAGAGGAAAAAAAGCAAGGGGAGAUAAAGUGGGGAUAUAUAUAUAUAUAUAUAUAUAUAUAUAUAUAUAUAUAUAUAUAUAUAUAUAGAGAGAGAGAGAGAGAGAGAGAGAGAGAGAGAGAGAGAGCAAAGAGAAGGAAGGAGAGAGAGCACACAAUUUUUAAGAGACAGAGAGAGAACAACAUGGGGAGACAACACGUUGCUGGACAAAAGCAUUGACCACCCGGACAAAGCUGCGGUUUUUUAAAUCUCUGCACAUAUCCCCAUGGAACUAGAGUCCAUGCUGGACGGUCAUGAUAUAGGGUACCAUGGAGCUCGACCUAUCAAAAACCACACUUUGGCCCUCUGCUUAAUUUUGUGUUUGGUUUUAGGAAGUUUUGCCUAUCUGCUUAUUUUUGCAUGGUGGUGGGGCUCUCUUCUAGUUGUUUUUCUUCAUGAAAUGCAAAUCUUUCUGAACUUGUACUUGUUAAGAAAAUGGGACAAUUACACUUUUCCCCCUAGUUGUGUCAUCCCAUGGGUUUUGUUCUUACUUUUCGUCUCUAUUCAGAUUUACCCUUAGAUUUGUCUAUGAGGUCGUCCUUGUGCCCUUUGACAAUUUGACCAAUACUUAAAAAAUUCAUAACAAAGUCAUAUGAACUCAUAGAAAUGCAAAUAAGAUAUUAAAAUGUUCACAAAAAUAUUGCCUUUAUGUGCAUGCCAUCUGCAUUCAGGAAAAAAUAUUGUUUAAACUAUCCGAGGUCAUAAGACAUUAAUAACCUCGGGUAGUUUAAACCAUACUUUUUUUCCUGAUAACAGUGUAAUAAGCUUGGGUAGUUAUAAACAAUACCUUUUACUGAAUGCAAAUGACAUGCACACAAAGAUCAUGUAUUUUGAACAUUUUGAUAUCUUAUUUGGAUUUCUAUGAGUUCAUAUGAAUUUUCUAUGAAUUUUCAAAGUAUUUGUCAAAGGGCACUCAAACGACCUCAGAGACAAAUCUAAGGGCAAAACUGGGCAGAGCCGAAAAGUAAGGACAAAACCUGUAGGGUGGUUUUGACUAAGGGCAAAAAUGCAUUUGGCCCUUAGUAAAUUAGAAGAUCAAGGACAAAGGAGAUUUUUAAUGAUGCUUUAUUUAAGCUAAAAGGGUUGCUCAUAUCGUAGCAAUGACAUGCUACCCUCCCUUUAAUUAAUGACAGUUGCUGGUGCUUUUUGCUAUCAUAAUCUACCCUCACUUUGUAUGUACAAUUGAUCAAUGAUUAAUAAAAAGAGCUCUACCCCUACUUCUCUGUGUAAUUUACUUUCUGUUUCUUUGCGUGAUCGACUACUUCACCUAUGAUGCUCCAGCUUCGCAACCCUUUGACCGGAAUCACUGGCAGAGGUUGCCAAACACUUUGCUCAGUUCUCUUAAAGUCGUAGCUUUGUGACAUGAUGUUCUCAAGAUUUGAUGUUUUGUUCAGUUAACUCUUCCAUACAAGUAGAGCGCAGAGGAAAACGGUAAAUACCAUAACAAGCGGCCGAAACAACAAAUACACUAACACCGUCUAUGAAAACUAAUGAAAAAGGAGUGCAAAAAGGUUACAAUGAUUAUAAACUGAUGCCACCGUCAGCACUUGAAAAAUUGGUACUCAUCGUCUGCUAUAUAUUGCCUUGCCACACAAAUGCAAUUGUACCUCAUUUUCUAGCGUCCAACUAGAUUGACACCAGGCUUGGAACGUAGGGGAUUACACCAUAGUCAUAGACAAUUUCUGAUGUGUACUUAACAAGCGUGUUUGUGUUAGGAUGGUGAUAUGCUAAGUCAUGCAUGAUAGCCACAUGCCUAACACCCAAUGUACUUUGGCUAUCAGAGCACAUGAGAUUGUAAGAUCCUCCUAGGAACAAUAUAUCGUCAUUAGACGUAGCUACCAGAUGUAUACAACGUGGGACGUUCAUGACAUGACGUUGAACCCAUUGUGGUGGAUUCGAACCAUCCACAUCAUUGCAAACCCAUAUACAAGCCGACCUGAAAGAUUUGUGUUUGGGCCCUUCAUGAGCAACGCAUAGCUCCCCGCGCAACUCAGCCAAGUUGGACGUCGCGUAUCGAAGAUCGGGGCACCCAGGAGGCGCCGGUAUGACACUGAAAGACUCAUCAUUCAAGCUGAAGCGAAGGAAACCUCGGGCAGGUACAACAUCCCCCGGGAGCAACAGCGACUCAUCGAUUGUCCAGAGCAAUGAUCCUUUGAAGAAGGUCGCUGUUCGACCUGCCAUGAUAGGGUACGGAGGUGGCGCUGCCGUCUCACGCCAAUGCUGAUCUCUCCCGAUGGUGAACACCUCCAUCCCAAGGGUGUAGUGGUAACCACCUCUCUCGAGCCUGUCCACAGAGGGGUAAUAGAAACGGGCAACCUUGUAUGUGUUGGAAUGAGGGUCAUGCCCAAGACCCAGCGCCCCAUCAAAGCACCUACGAAGCCCACGCGGGGUUAUGCAGCUCUGAGGCAGAAGCAGGACGUGGCGAGUAGCUGGAUUGAGAACCCACACGGUGUCGUCCAUGGACACCAGCACAAGACCGUCACAGUGCGCCAAAUUGUGCCUUCUGCCGGCUUCCACCACAGGGAAGGAGUCCAUGGCUAGAACGAGAGUCGCGGCGUCUUGGCUCAUCUCCCACCGGUAUAAGCCCGGUGUGGUGACCUUAAGCUUUCUUUCAUAAGGAUGGCCGCCGUAGUUGGUUCUUAUCCACGGCGCGAUGAGCAUGCACGUCUGUUGGAGGCAGAGGUGCUGGCGCUGGAACGACUGGUCGCGGGUGAUGGUGUCGUGCCACGCCUUGCAGACGCAGGUGAACCGCAUCAGCGACUUGACAGGGAGACGAUGCAGGAUCUGCAUGACGAGCUCGUGCGGCACAUAGCGUGUCGCCGCUGCCGUCGUCUCGUCGUCCAUGGUCGGAUAAUUUCUUGCAACGCGGGCUCUUCCUUCCUUGUUUUAUACACGGCACGUACGUAGUCACGUACAGACUCGGAUUUGGAGGGAAAAUAUAGUCGGAUCGAAGGCGGGGUCGUUCAACUUGUUGGGGUAGUCCACUAGUCCUGACCAUACGACGCAGCCGCGAGUAUACUUUCCUUGCACCGGUCGGAUGUCAACAGAAUCAAUCUGAGUUUACAAGUGGAGAUCUACUCGUGCACGUAGUAUAUACUAUAGCACAGAAAGCUAGCCUAGUACUAAACCUAUUCGGUGAUGGUUUCAAGCUUGGGCCGGACUGGACGCCGUGGUUUAUUCCAACACACGUAACUGACUCCAUCUCAGUAUCUCCCACGGAAGCAAAUCAAGCAAGCGAGUCCAUGACCAUCGGGAAUUUGUGAUCUAUACAAUUUGAGUCGGCAGAGGCGCCGGCUGUUAGGACAGAGAGCUUUCGACGCCGGCGGUCCGUGUAACCAGGAAGGAAGCCGAUGUUCUGACCGCUCGCUCCAAGGGGAGGCGAUUCCUACCAGGUCACUCACAGAGCUUGGUUUCUCGGUUUGUCUUCAGUUAAGGACCAAACCUUUUGCCUCUAUCACUUUCCGAGCUCAGUGCCAACAUACUGAUUUCCUCCUCAUACCUUGCCAAGAAGUUUACUGUCGUCUCUUUGCCGUUGCUGUGUAUGCAUUUGUCUCACAAAAAUAGGCCCUCCACAACAGCAGCAGGAGCUUAACUUUCGUAUUAUCAUUGCAUUUGUCCAGCAGUACUUGCAGCCAAUCACUACCGGUGUUCCAAAAAUUCUUUUCCUAUGGUAGAUCCCAUACUUCCCUCAUGGCGUAUCUUAGGGCCCUGCAUCCCUGGUACCACAAAUUCACAAACACUAUCAUGCACUAAUGUACGUUUGCAUUUGUUCUUUUUAGUGGCCAUCGCUACAUGUAGCAACUCUCCAUCCAAAGAUCUUCAUUUUUUCCAGCAUGUUGAAUGUAAGUUUAAGUUAUUUUGUGAUGAAUGUCAAAGAAUAAAUAGUAUUAAUAGACAUAAAAAAAAA